ensembl:misc_RNA Metazoa_SRP Metazoan signal recognition particle RNA
GCCGGGCGUGGUGGUGGGCGCCUGUAGUCCCAGCUACUCAGGAGGCUGAGGCAGGAGAAUCGCUUGAACCCAGGAAAUGGAGGCUGCAGUGAGCCGAGGUCACGCCACUGCCUCCAGCCUGGGCAACAGAGUGAGACUCCGUCUCAA